AUGCUGGAGGCUGGAGCCGCGGGAGCGCGGCUCGCCUCGCUGCGGUUGUUGGCAGCGACGGAGAUAGGAGUGCGGCUGGAGCGAUGUGCCAGGUGGUGCCAGUGCCAGCUAAUCACCUCCCUGUUGGCAGCACCGUGAACACUGUGCACCUGUCUUCAGAUGGCACUUAAAGCAGAGAAGCCUGCUGUGUGGCUGUGGGAGUCAUCAGAGAGGUGGCAGUGGAGGUUUGUUAUCGACCCAAUCAUUACAUCGCUACCCAAGCGUUAGCUCUGUUCAACGCCCUUGUGGAGUCCAGGACUUAGAGAGAGGAUCUCCAAGCAGAAGCCCCCAGCCCACGUGAGAACAGGGAGACCCUUGUGCCCUUAACUGUUUUCCAUAGUACUG
rnacentral:lncRNA from 1 species